AGGCUUAACACAUGCAAGUCGAGCGCCCCGCAAGGGGAGCGGCAGACGGGUGAGUAACGCGUGGGAACGUACCCUUUACUACGGAAUAACGCAGGGAAACUUGUGCUAAUACCGUAUGUGCCCUUCGGGGGAAAGAUUUAUCGGUAAAGGAUCGGCCCGCGUUGGAUUAGCUAGUUGGUGGGGUAAAGGCCUACCAAGGCGACGAUCCAUAGCUGGUCUGAGAGGAUGAUCAGCCACAUUGGGACUGAGACACGGCCCAAACUCCUACGGGAGGCAGCAGUGGGGAAUAUUGGACAAUGGGCGCAAGCCUGAUCCAGCCAUGCCGCGUGAGUGAUGAAGGCCCUAGGGUUGUAAAGCUCUUUCACCGGAGAAGAUAAUGACGGUAUCCGGAGAAGAACCCCGGGUAACUUCGUGCCAG
rnacentral:rRNA from 1 species